rnacentral:rRNA from 1 species
UACGAACUGUGCAAGCGUUAUUCGGAUUCACUGGGCUUAAAGGGUGCGUAGGCGGCCAUGUAAGUCGGGUGUGAAAUCCCCCGGCUUAACCGGGGAACUGCGCCCUAAACUGUGUGGCUUGAGUGAGAUAGGGGUGUGUGGAACUUCCGGUGGAGCGGUGAAAUGUGUUGAUAUCGGAAGGAACGCCGGUGGCGAAAGCGACACACUGGGUCUCAACUGACGCUGAGGCGCGAAAGCGAGGGGAGCGAACGGG